AGUGAACGCUGGCGGUAGGCCUAACACAUGCAAGUCGAACGGCAGCACAGUAAGAGCUUGCUCUUACGGGUGGCGAGUGGCGGACGGGUGAGGAAUACAUCGGAAUCUACUUUUUCGUGGGGGAUAACGUAGGGAAACUUACGCUAAUACCGCAUACGACCUACGUGUGAAAGCAGGGGAUCUUCGGACCUUGCGCGAUUGAAUGAGCCGAUGUCGGAUUAGCUAGUUGGCGGGGUAAAGGCCCACCAAGGCGACGAUCCGUAGCUGGUCUGAGAGGAUGAUCAGCCACACUGGAACUGAGACACGGUCCAGACUCCUACGGGAGGCAGCAGUGGGGAAUAUUGGAAAAUGGGCGCAAGCCUGAUCCAGCCAUACCGCGUGGGUGAAGGAGGCCUUCGGGCUGUAAAGCCCUUUUGUUGGGAAAGAAAAGCAGCAGGUUAAUACCACGCUGUUCUGACGGUACCCAAAGAAUAAGCACCGGCUAACUUCGUG
rnacentral:rRNA from 1 species